UGCCAGCAGCCGCGGUAAUACGAAAGGGGCAAGCAUUGUUCGGAAUUACUGGGCGUAAAGCGCGCGUAGGCGGUCUAUCAAGCUGGGGGUGAAAUCCCGGGGCUCAACCCCGGAACUGCCUCCAGAACUGGUAAACUAGAGGAUGCGAGAGGAGAGUGGAAUUCCGAGUGUAGAGGUGAAAUUCGUAGAUAUUCGGAAGAACACCAGUGGCGAAGGCGACUCUCUGGAGCAUAUCUGACGCUGAGGUGCGAAAGCGUGGGGAGCAAACAGGAUUAGAUA
rnacentral:rRNA from 1 species